rnacentral:lncRNA from 1 species
CCUCUCUUUCGUCUACCUCCCUAGAGCAAGAGCCGUCAGAAAGGAGGGAAGGAGAAGCAGGCGACACCGUUAAUCGAUCUGACAACUAGGCAUCUAAACUUGUAAGUUUCGAGUUCACGUAAGAAAACUUCUUUUUUGGUUGUAAACGCUUUAGUAGUGGUAUUAAUUGUUCUAGGAAAUCUUAUGGACAUGUAUUAUUGCUAUAUAGGUUUAGAUAUAUAUGUUUCAAUAAGUUUCACAUCUGGAUUAAUAGAAAUAGGAGGGGGUUUGAUUUUAAUCCUGAUUUAUUGGGUGUUUGAAUCUGUUUAAGAAAAAAUAAAAAAAGAGGAAAGGGAAGAGCAGCGGCGGCUGCCGCUGCUCUGUUUCGGCCAGGGCGAUGCAGAAGCAACGCCACAAGAAGAAUUCCAAAGGUUGGCCAUUCGGCCAACCCAAGGCUAAGAAAAAAAAAAAGCAUUAGUUGUUGUCGCCAGCUCUUGCUGGCGACAAUGGAGCAAUUUGGGUUGGCCUUCACGGCCACCCAAUUGAGGAAAUUGGGUUGCCAAGCUCUCUGGCGACUAUGGUCAGCCAUGGUUGGCCAAUGGCCAACCAUGGGCCCCACUAGAAGUUAAAAAAAAUAUAUAUAUUAAUAAUAAAUAUUAAUAAUAAAAUAAAAUAAAAUGAAAAAUGAUGAUAACAAUAAACAAAAAUAAAUAAGUAAAGAGGGAGCAAUUUAAUCUUGGACCAAACUAUAGUAUAUAUAAAAUUUAGUAAAUAUUUAAUAAAUAGAUUUUAAAUAUAACUAGCCCAUUUUUAUAGUAUAUUGUGAAUAUUAAAGUUUAGGACCCAAUCUAAUAUAAUUGUUGGAAGUGAGGGUUAGUCAUUUAAAAUAUUACCUUAUUAAUUAAGUCUAAGGUGCUUAAAUAGAAAUCUAAAACAUGUUAACUUAGCCUUAUUAGAUUAAGUUGUACAAUAUAAGAUAAGCUUUAGAUUGUUGAACGAAGUGCUUAAAAUAAUAAUAAUAAUAAUAAUAAUAGUAAUAAUAAUAAUAUGGAUGAAGCAAAUAAAGGAUGUAAACAAAAAAUAUAAAUAUAAAGACAAGUGUAAUAAAUUAAGACAAUAUUAUAAUAAUAAAUCAAUAUAUAUAUAUAUGUACAUAUAUGCAUAAAUAAUAAUGACACCUACACACGCACAAAGGUAGGAAUAAAGUGAAAUGUGAUAAUAACUAAUUAUUAAAUGUAUAUAAGUGGUAAUAAAAUAAAGUAGCAACGACAAGUACGAUAAUAAUAUAGUAAUAAAUAAUUAUUAAUUAUAAAUAUGUAUAGUAAGAUAACAGUCAAAAUAAUAAACAUGAUUAUGAAUAAUUAUUUUAUUUUAAAUUAGGAAACUUUACAAAAAGGAGAACCUUUCCAAAUUAAGAAACUUUCUAAAAAUAGAAACUUUCCAAAUUAGGAAUCCUUCCAAAAAUAGAAAUCGCCCAAUUUGAGGGAGAUGCGAUUAGGGUCCAUUUAAUGGUCUAGGUAUGAAUCUCAUGCUUACCUAGGGUGGUAUAUUUAUGCAUCUAUAGGAAGUAACAACUAAUUAGGGAACUCAUGCAUUUGAUAGGUACGGUACAAGGAUCUAAGGUAGUCCACUCGAGCAGCUAAACAAAGGUAGGUGGUACUUACCCUUCUGAGAUUUCAAAUGUGUAAAUGAAACUCUCGUUUUCAAUCCUAUUUGGCUAUGUUGACUCGAAAUGAGUUAUGACUUUACGAUUUCUUAUGUACAACUAUCAAUAAGAUGCUUUUAAAUUGCUUGUCAUUCUUUACUACUGAUUGCUUUAUAAAUAACGUUACUUUCAAAAUUACGGAUGUGAAUGAUAUACAAUUGAAUUGAGUUGUACUUAUAUAUUUGUGCACCUAUAAAAUUAAGAGUGCAUGGUCCAACAGAGGGGUAAAUAUUACCUACUAAGCGAUGUGUCGCUCAACCCACUUCUUACCAUUUUUGCAGAUUCGGAAGAGUAUGAAUUGAUUUACAUAGAAGACCCUGAGGAUGUCUUUUAUUAGUUUAGGUGCAUAGAAGUUGGCAGGCUAGCUACUUCUAGUGUUAUCCUAUUUACUUUUGUUUCCGCUGUUUCAAUUGGAGAAUAAAUGUACGAAACGCCUUGAAUAUUCGUAGACUUCCUUUUAUAUGUAAUUCGAACCGCACUUUAUUUGUUU